rnacentral:rRNA from 1 species
CCUNAGAGUUUGAUCAUGGNUCAGAGCGAACGCUGGCGCCAGGCUUNACACAUGCAAGUCGAACGGACCCUUCGGGGUUAGUGGCGGACNGGNUGAGUAACACGUGGGAACGUNCNUUUAGGUUCGGAACAACUCAGGGGAAACUUGAGCUAAUACCGAAUGUGCCCUUAGGGGGAAAGAUUAUCGCCUUUAGAGCGGCCCGCGUCUGAUUAGCUAGUUGGUGAGGUAAUGGCUCACCAAGGCUACGAUCAGUAGCUGGUCUGAGAGGAUGACCAGCCACAUUGGGACUGAGACACGGCCCAAACUCCUACGGGAGGCAGCAGUGGGGAAUCUUGCGCAAUGGGCGAAAGCCUGACGCAGCCAUGCCGCGUGGAUGAUGAAGGUCUUAGGAUUGUAAAAUCCUUUCACCGGUGAAGAUAAUGACUGUAGCCGGAGAAGAAGCCCCGGCUAACUUCGUGCCAGCAGCCGCGGUAAUACGAAGGGGGUUAGCGUUGCUCGGAAUUACUGGGCGUAAAGGGAGCGUAGGCGGACAUUUAAGUCAGGGGUGAAAUCCCGAGGCUCAACCUCGGAACUGCCUUUGAUACUGGGUGUCUUGAGUGUGAGAGAGGUAUGUGGAACUCCGAGUGUAGAGGUGAAAUUCGUAGAUAUUCGGAAGAACACCAGUGGCGAAGGCGACAUACUGGCUCAUUACUGACGCUGAGGCUCGAAAGCGUGGGGAGCAAACAGGAUUAGAUACCCUGGUAGUCCACGCCGUAAACGAUGAUUGCUAGUUGUUGGGGUGCUUGCACCUCGGUGAACGCAGCUAACGCAUAAGCAUCCGCCUGG